AGAAGUGGGAUCUGGGGGAUGUGUGGGGCAGAAUUGGGAUCUGGGGGAUGUGUGGGGCAGGAGGAGGGAUGUGUGGGGCUGGAGAUCUGUGGGGCUGGAGGAGGGAUCUGUGGGGCAGAAGUGGGAUCUGGGGGAUGUGUGGGGCAGAAGUGGGAUCUGGGGGAUGUGUGGGGCAGGAGGAGGGAUGUGUGGGGCUGGAGGAGAGAUCUGUGGGGCUGGAGGAGGGAUCUGUGGGGCAGAAGUGGGAUCUGGGGGAUGUGUGGGGCGGGAGGAGGAAUCUGUGGGGCAGGAGGAGGGAUGUGUGGGGCGGGAGGAGGGAUCUAUGGGGCAGAAGUGGGGUCUGGAGGAUCUGGGGCGGGAGGAGGGAUCUGUGGGGCAGAAAAGUGGGAUCUGGGGGAUGUGUGGGGCGGGAGGAGGGAUCUGUGGGGCAGCCCCUACCCCUGUGCCCCACAGCCGUGGGCCGGCGGAGGCGGACGAGCUGCUGAAACGUGUGGGGUUCCUGUACGACGGCACCUACCGCUGGGUCAACCCACACCCGCACUGACCCACAGCUCUGCCCCAUAGAUCCUGCCCCAUAGAUCCCGCCCCAUAGAUCCACCCCACAGAUCCCGCCCCACAGCCUCCCCCCUGUGUUACACUCCCUGCCCCAUAGCAAUGGGGUCUUGUGGUGGGGGGUGGCUAUGGGGUGCCCCAUAGAUCCACCCCAUGUUACACUCCCAGCCCCAUAGCGAUGGGGUCCUGUGCUGCUGGGGAGAGGCUGUGGGGUGCCCCAUAGAUCCUGCCCCAUAGAUUCUGCCCCACAGCCUCCCCCCUGUGUUACACUCCCUGCCCCAUAGCGAUGGGGUCUUGU
rnacentral:lncRNA from 1 species